UCCCAGUCGCGAUUGAAGCAUUUGUUUGAGUUCAUUUUCUUGGUUUUGGUGCGGGGUGGGCCUUCGGCCCACCCCGCACCAAAACCAAGAAAAUAGCGAGUGCGGAAAGCGUGAAAUAGU
rnacentral:misc_RNA from 1 species